rnacentral:lncRNA from 1 species
UUAGAAGAGGAGGAGGGGAAGUAUAAGGUAAUGAAGAAGAAAAGGAAGAUAGUGAUGUGUUCAGGUAUUAAUGAGAUGACUCAGUUUGAGAGACAAAUUGAGAUGUGUGGUUAUCAAGACUUACUGAGGCAGAGGGAAUCAAAGGUUGAGAGAGAUUAGGUGAAUGAGAAUUAUUGGAAGUUGGGGACUGAUGGGAUGAGGAAAUAAAGGGAGUCAGUGUUAUUGAAG